rnacentral:rRNA from 1 species
GUGAGGAAUAUUGGACAAUGGGCGCAAGCCUGAUCCAGCCAUGCCGCGUGCAGGAAGACGCAUCUAUGGUGUGUAAACUGCUUUUGUACGGGAAGAAACACUCCCUCGUGAGGGAGCUUGACGGUACCGUAAGAAUAAGGAUCGGCUAACUCCGUGCCAGCAGCCGCGGUAAUACGGAGGAUCCAAGCGUUAUCCUGACUCAUUGGGUUUAAAGGGUCCGUAGGCGGUUUAAUAAGUCAGGGGUGAAAGCCCAUCACGCCACGAUGGAACUGCCAUUGAUACUGUUAGACUUGAAUUACAAGAAAGUAACUAGAAUAUGUAGUGUAGCGGUGAAAUUCUUAGAUAUUACAUGGAAGACCAAUUGCGAAGGCAGGUUACUACUUGUGGAUUGACGCUGAUGGACGAAAGCGUGGGGAGCGAACAGGAUUAGAAACCCUGGUAGUCC